rnacentral:rRNA from 1 species
GGCCUACCAUGGUGGUAACGGGUAACGGGGUGUUAGGGCACGACACCGGAGAGGGAGCCUGAGAAACGGCUACCACAUCCAAGGAUGGCAGCAGGCGCGCAAAUUACCCAAUCCCGACACGGGGAGGUAGUGACAAUAAAUAACAAUACGGGGUUCUUUAGGAUCUCGUAAUUGGAAUGAGUACAAUUUAAAUCUCUUAACGAGGAACAAUUGGAGGGCAAGUCUGGUGCCAGCAGCCGCGGUAAUUCCAGCUCCAAUAGCGUAUAUUAAAGUUGUUGCAGUUAAAAAGCUCGUAGUUGAACUUCGGGGUUAGUAGGUUGGUCAUGCCUCUGGUAUGUACUGGUCUCACUGAUUCCUCCUUCCUGAUGAACCUUAAUGCCAUUUAUUUGGUGUUUUGGGGAAUUUGGACUGUUACUUUGAAAAAAUUAGAGUGUUUAAAGCAAGCUAACGCUUGAGUACAUUAGCAUGGAAUAAUGAAAUAGGACGUUCGAUCCUAUUUUGUUGGUUUCUAGGAUUGACGUAAUGAUUAAUAGGGAUAGUUGGGGGCAUUAGUAUUCAAUUGUCAGAGGUGAAAUUCUUGGAUUUAUUGAAGACUAACUACUGCGAAAGCAUUUGCCAAGGAUGUUUUCAUUAAUCAAGAACGAAAGUUUGGGGAUCGAAGACGAUCAGAUACCGUCGUAGUCUUAACCAUAAACUAUGCCGACUAGGGAUCGGAUGAUGUUAAUUUUUUAAUGACUCAUUCGGCGCCUUACG